AUCUACAAGUGAAGCUCCUGCUUCAGAAACAAGUUUAUGGACAUGAAGAGUGAAGGAGAGGAGUUGUAUUCGUUUCCCAGUGCUGGCAGAACAAAUCACCACAAAUGAAGUGGCCUAAACCAACAGAAAUGUACUCUUUCACAAUUCAGAGGCCAGAAAGCUGAAAUUGAGAAACAGAAGUGAGAAAGAUAUUGUAGUGGCCACAAGGAUGCAACAAACAGAUCUCCAAAUUUGAAGAGCAUAAUUGACUGAGAACUCUGGCUACUGCAUUCUGAGAUCCAAGCCUCGGUUAGUGCUGAGGCCCCAACUUCCCACAGGCUGCUCUCACUCAGUGAGUAAGUGCAGUGAUAGAAAGAUAAACCUCAUCCCAACUCCUUCUCAGUCUGAAGUCCCAACAGUAGCCACAGUUGGUGCCUGAUUUUCCUAAAUCCCUCAAAACUAAGGAGAGUGUAUUGAAUAAUAUUCAAGAAAAAUAUGAUGAAUGAUAAGAGAAUAGGAUUUAGAAUUAAAAUUCUAGGAAAGAUAAAAUCUAAAGAGCAUGGCAGUCAGAGGAGGAAACUAAGGAGGAAGACAACAGAAAUAACAGCGUCAAAGAAUUCAAGAGAAGAGAAAGAUUUGGGAAGAAGUCGUGGUCAAAUGUGUCACAUGCCAGAGAAAUACAAUCAGAUAAGGAAUAUGAAACCACUGGAUUAAGUGUUGUAUCACUGAGAAGCAAGAAUAAAACUGUAGUAUUUUGACACACGGAAGAAAGUGAUGAAAAUUACUGGAGUUUACAUGUGCAUAAUACAUGAUACUAGGUGUAUUAGUCUGUUCUUACACUGCUAAUAAAGACAUACCCCAGACUGCGUAAUUGAUAAAGAAAAAGAGAUUUAAUGGACUCACAGUUCCUCAUGGCUGGGGAGGCCUCACAAUCUUGGCAAAAGACAGAUGAGGAGCAAAGGCACAUUUACGUGGCAGCAGUCAAGAUAAUGUGUGCAGGAGAGCUGCCCUUUAUAAAACCAUCAGAUCUCAUGAGACUUAUUCCCUAUCAUGAGAACAGCAUGGGAAAAACUGAUUUUUUCAGUUCAAUUUAAAAAAAUCAUGAUUCAAUUUACCCAUGAUUCAAUGACCUCCCACUGGGUCCCUCCCAAGACACAUGGGGAUUAUGGGAGCUACAAUUCAAGAUAAAGUUUGGGUGGGAACACAGCCAAACCAUAUCAGUAGGUAUGAUCAAAUCAUGAAAUGUUACUUGUUUCAGAAUAUAUUCUAUUGCAUCCUGCUCCUGCAAGUCCAAAAGUACAAGAACACAUGUUUAGUCCUAAUUCAGAGAAAUGAAAUGAAUAAAUCCACAUGGAAUACAUUAUAUAACAUAUACACUUAUAUGUUUUAUAUUUAUAUAUACAAUGGAGGUUAUAUUAGACUUCUGCAAAAAAUGUUUGUUGCUUCAAUAAGAAAAACUUUUUGUUGCAAUUUUUAUAAGGAAAAAGUAAUAUGUAUUACUUAUUAGUUGAUGUUGCAAAGCUGAUGCUUAACACCACAGUCUUUUCUUUUUUCAUAAUCAUUAUGACAGCAUGUUUUGAACACCCUGCAUAGGAGAAUCACCAAGACCAAUAGCAGGCUAUGCAGGAGUGAGAGAUAGAUAAACUUUUGUUGUAGUCCAGUAACCAAAAGAUAGGGUUAUUUAUAAUCUAUAUCAUCUUAAUUCAUAUAAGGUCACAGAUUAAAAGAAACAAAUAUUUUAUCCUCCCUUCUACCUUGAAUUAGACCAUAUAAUAAUGUGCAUCAGAUAUUAAAGAGCUGCUUUUAUAUUAAAGUGAUACUUUGGCUUGCUUUCUUACUUCCCUUUUAUGCUCUCUCAAUGUUCUAGGAAAUAAAGUUGCCCCUAUCUGCUUACAAAGACAGCCAGUUAGUUCUCACUUCCUCUAAAAGUGCAUUCUCUAAUGGGAUCUAAUUAAACUAAAGAGCUUCUGCACAGCAAAAGAAACUACCAUCAAAGUGAACAGGCAACCCACAAAAUGGGAGAAAAUUUUCGCAACCUACUCAUCUGACAAAGGGCUAAUAUCCAGAAUCUACAAUGAACUCAAACAAAUUUACAAGGAAAAAACAAACAACCCCAUCAAGAAGUGGGCGAAGGACAUGAACAGACACUCUCAAAAGAAGACAUUUAUGCAGCCAAAAAACACAUGAAAAAAUGCUCACCAUCACUGGCCAUCAGAGAAAUGCAAAUCAAAACCACAAUGAGAUAUCAUCUCACACCAGUUAGAAUGGCAAUCAUUAAAAAGUCAGGAAACAACAGGUGCUGGAGAGGAUGUGGAGAAAUAGGGACACUUUACACUGUUGGUGGGACUGUCAACUUGUUCAACCAUUGUGGAAGUCAGUGUGGUGAUUCCUCAAGGAUCUAGAACUAGAAAUACCAUUUGACCCAGCCAUCCCAUUCCUGGGUAUAUACUGAAAGGACUAUAAAUCAUGCUGCUAUAAAGACACAUGCACAUGUAUGUUUAUUGUGGCACUAUUCACAAUAGCAAAGACUUGGAACCAACCCAAAUGUCCAACAAUGAUAGACUGGAUUAAGAAAAUGUGGCACAUAUACACCAUGGAAUAUUAUGCAGCCAUAAAAAAUGAUGAGUUCAUGUCUUUGUAGGGACAUGGAUGAAGUUGGAAAUCAUCAUUCUCAGUAAACUAUCGCAAGAACAAAAAGCCAAACACCACAUAUUCUCACUCAUAGGUGGGAAUUGAACAAUGAGAACACAUGGACACAGGAAGGGGAACA
rnacentral:lncRNA from 10 species